CCCCAGUUCCCUCAGCUGCUCCUCAUCAGACUUGUGCUCCAGACCCUUCCUCAGCUCCACUGCCCUUCUCUGGACACGCUCCAGCAUCUCCGUGUCUCUCAUCUAGUGAGAGGCCCAGAACUGAACAUAGGAUUUGAGGCUCCCUGGGUUAACCUGGAGGCAACUUGCUUGGGUCUCACUGGCCUGGAGAGAAAUCUGUGGGUGCAUGCCUGCAAAAGCUGCACACUGUAAAGCAGAAGUUCAAGGAAAUCCAGCACUUCUCCUUACAACCUUGACUUCAGAAGACAGUCUCUUGUCUCAAAACUCUGUUCUUCAAGCCAGAACAGGGCAGUGGACCAGAAGUAUUCCUCAGAAAUAGAAGAAUUUACUCCAGAGAUGUUUUUAGAAGAAGUCAAG